GUCAGGAUGGCCGAGUGGUCUAAGGCGCCGCGUUCAGAUCGCAGUCUCCCCUAGAGCCGUGGGUUCGAAUCCCACUUCUGACA